UGCCUCUCCCGGGAUCUUGAUAAUAUGCAGCUUCUGAUGCCAUGGGUCUAGGUGAGAUUCUGCAUUUCUAACAAGUUCCCAGGAGAUUCUGAUGCUGCU
rnacentral:miRNA from 1 species